GAGUGGCGAACGGGUGAGUAACACGUGGGUGAUCUGCCCUGCACUUCGGGAUAAGCUUGGGAAACUGGGUCUAAUACCGGAUAGGAGCCAUCUUUACUGUGGUGGUUGGAAAGUUUUUUCGGUGUAGGAUGAGCUCGCGGCCUACCAGCUUGUUGGUGGGGUAAUGGCCUACCAAGGCGGCGACGGGUAGCCGGCCUGAGAGGGUGUACGGCCACAUUGGGACUGAGAUACGGCCCAGACUCCUACGGGAGGCAGCAGUGGGGAAUAUUGCACAAUGGGCGCAAGCCUGAUGCAGCGACGCCGCGUGGGGGAUGAAGGCCUUCGGGUUGUAAACUCCUUUCGCUAGGGACGAAGCUUUUUGUGACGGUACCUAGAUAAGAAGCACCGGCUAACUACGUGCCAGCAGCCGCGGUAAUACGUAGGGUGCGAGCGUUGUCCGGAAUUACUGGGCGUAAAGGGCUCGUAGGUGGUUUGUCGCGUCGUCUGUGAAAUUCUGGGGCUUAACUCCGGGCGUGCAGGCGAUACGGGCAUAACUUGAGUGCUGUAGGGGUAACUGGAAUUCCUGGUGUAGCGGUGAAAUGCGCAGAUAUCAGGAGGAACACCGAUGGCGAAGGCAGGUUACUGGGCAGUUACUGACGCUGAGGAGCGAAAGCAU
rnacentral:rRNA from 1 species